CGCAAGGAGGGGUGUGUGUUUCACGCCCCUGGGAGUUAACGAUUCUCCGGCCCCAGUUCCUAGGUCCAGGGAGGGCCCCGUGGCGCUGAAAGGGCGCUGA
rfam:Quang Binh virus, complete genome